GUCAGCAGCACGAGGUGACAGCUGGAUUCUGCAUGGUUACGUCCGACUACAGAGGAGUUAUGAAAGACGUGAGCUGGGGACUCAGUCCAGGCUACGUUGUGUGUUAAGUAGAGUGGAACAGCAGGCGUUGCCAUAACAACACAAGGUGGGGUUCCCCAGUUUGAAGUACGGGUUCUCCCAGCCAAUCACAGUGGGCUGCAGUCUAUUGAAUAUUCUGGGAACCACGGGACGGCCCACGAGUGAGGAGCGACCGGGAGUUUGAGGAGGCUUGGGUGCAUUUUGAUGGAGCUUAAUGCCUGUGGAUGUCUCCUCUGUUCCCACGACUUUGUGACUGCCUGGAGAGUCUUCCAUCCCCAUUUUCCUUCCAAACGUCAAACUCAGCCAGCUGGGUAGACGUCGGUGCAAGUCAGCCUCCAUCCCACCAGC